rnacentral:rRNA from 1 species
GAUGAACGCUAGCUACAGGCUUAACACAUGCAAGUCGAGGGGAAACGACAUCGAAAGCUUGCUUUUGAUGGGCGUCGACCGGCGCACGGGUGAGUAACGCGUAUCCAACCUGCCCACCACUUGGGGAUAACCUUGCGAAAGUAAGACUAAUACCCAAUGAUAUCCCACGAAGGCAUCCGAAUGAGAUUAAAGAUUUAUCGGUGAUGGAUGGGGAUGCGUCUGAUUAGCUUGUUGGCGGGGUAACGGCCCACCAAGGCAACGAUCAGUAGGGGUUCUGAGAGGAAGGUCCCCCACAUUGGAACUGAGACACGGUCCAAAACUCCUACGGGAGGCAGCAGUGA